GGGCGGUUGGCGCAGUGGCUAGCGCAGAUGCCUUACACGCAUUUGGUCGGGGGUUCGAGUCCCUCACCGCCCACCA
rnacentral:tRNA from 1 species